GAUGAACGCUGGCGGCGUGCCUAAUACAUGCAAGUCGAACGCUGAAGGAGGAGCUUUCUCUUCUGGAUGAGUUGCGAACGGGUGAGUAACGCGUAGGUAACCUGCCUGGUAGCGGGGGUUAACUCUUGGAAACGAUAGCUAAUACCGCAUGACCACAGUUAUUGCAUGAUAACUGUUUAAAAGGGGCAACUGCUCCACUACCAGAUGGCCCUGCGUUGUAUUAGCUAGUUGGUGAGGUCACGGCUCACCAAGGCGACGAUACAUAGCCGACCUGAGAGGGUGAUCAGCCACACUGGGAAUGAGACAAGGCCCAGACGCCUAAGAGAGGCAGCAGAAGGGAAACUAAGGCAAAGGACGGAAGGCUGGACGAGCAACGCCGCGAGAGUGAAGAAGGUUUUCGGAUGGUAAAGCUCUGUUAUAAGAGAAGAACGAGAGUGAGAGUGGAAAGUUCACACUGUGACGGUAUCUUACCAGAAAGGGACGGCUAACUACGUG
rnacentral:rRNA from 1 species